rnacentral:ncRNA from 1 species
UACGCUUUGCCACCGGGUAAAGCGACCGAGGUGUUCUGAAGCAUUCCGUUAGGUCUUAGAAGGAGUGUUCUCGAACAUCUUUUUUUG